AUGAGUCCUGCGGAAGUUGUGCCUAGUGUAGUAGUUUCUACAGAAGUGGUGCCCAGAGUGGUAGAUUCAACAGAAGUAAUGCCCAGGGUAGUUUCUGCAGAAGUGGUUUCAAGGGAAGUAGUUUCUAAAAAAAUGGUGCCAAGGAAAGUAGUUUCACCAGAACUUGUGCCCAAAGUAGUAGUUUCUACAGAAGUGGUUCCAAGGGUACUAGUUUCUGCAGUGGGUAUGCCCAAGGUAGUAGUUUCUACAGAAAUGGUACCAAGGGUACUAGUUUCUGCAGAAGUGGUGCCAAGGGUAGUACUUUCAGGAGAAAUCGGUCCUGCAAAAGUGGUCCCCAGAGUAGUAGUUUCUGCAGAAGUGGCCCCCAGAGUGGUAGUAAUUUCAGCAGAAGUUGUAUCCAGGCUAAUAGUUUCUACAGAAGUUGUUUCAAAGGCAGUAGUUUCUGUAGAAGUGAAUUCCAGGGUAGUAGUUUCAACAGAAGUGUCUCCAAAGAUGGUAGUUUCUUCUGAAGUGGUUCCUGUAGAAGUAGUGCCCAGGAUAGUAGUUUCUACAGAGGUGGUGCCAUGGGUACUACUUUCUACAGAACUGGUGCCAAUGGUAGUAGUUUCUGCAGAAGUGGUUUCAGGAGUACUAGUUUCUACAGAAGUGGUGUCAAGGGUAGUAGUUUCUGCUGAAGUGGGGCCAAGAUUACUAAUUUCUGUAGAAGCUGUGUCCAGGGUUGUAAUUUCUGCAGAAGUGGUUUCAAGGGUAGUAGUUUCUGUAAAAGUGGUGCCCAGGAUAGCUGUUUCUACAGAAGUGGUUCUAAGAUUAGUUGUUUCUGUAGAAGCUGUGUCCAGGGUAGUAAUUUCCACGGAAGUGGGUUCUGCAGAAGUGGUUUCCAGGGUAGUAGUCUUUACAGAAGUAGCUUCAUGGGUAUUAGUUUCAUUAGAAACUGUGCCCAGGGUAAUAGUUUUUAUAGAAGUAGUGCUAAGGAUAGUAGUAACUGCAGAAUGUGUGCCCAAGGUACCAGUUUCUGCAGAAGUUGUGCCCAUGGUACCAGUUUCUGAAGUGGGUCCUGCAAAAGUGGUUUCAAGGUUAGCAGUUUCUGCAGAAGUGGUGCCCAUGAUACCGGUUUCUGAAGUGGGUCCUGCAGAAGUAGUUUCAAGGGUAGUAGUUUCUACAGAAGUGGUGCCCAGAGUGAUAGAUUCAACAAAACUGGGCCUGGCAGAAGUGGAUUCCAGGGUAGUAGUUUCUACAGAAGUGGUGCCAAGGGUAGUAGUUUCUGCAGAAGUGAUGCCAAGAGUUGUCAAUUCUACAGUAUUAAUGCCAAGGGUAGUAAUUUCUGCAGAAGUGGGUGCUGCAGAAAUGGUUUCAAGUUUAGUAAUUCCUAUAGAAGUAGUGCCGGAGGUAGUAGUUUCUGCAGAAGUUGUGCCCAGGGUAGUAGUUUCUACAGAAGUGGUUCCAAGAGUACUAGUUUUUGCAGAUGUAGUGUCAAGGGUAGAAGUGGUGAGCAGGGUAGUUUCUGCAGAACUGGGACCUGCAGAAGUGGUUUCAAGGGUAGUAGUUUCUACAUAA
ensembl:lncRNA